AUUGAACGCUGGCGGCAGGCCUAACACAUGCAAGUCGAACGGUAACAGGAAGCAGCUUGCUGCUUCGCUGACGAGUGGCGGACGGGUGAGUAAUGUCUGGGAAGCUGCCUAAUGGAGGGGGAUAACUACUGGAAACGGUAGCUAAUACCGCAUAAUGUCGCAAGACCAAAGAGGGGGACCUUCGGGCCUCUUGCCAUCGGAUGUGCCCAGAUGGGAUUAGCUUGUUGGUGGGGUAACGGCUCACCAAGGCGACGAUCCCUAGCUGGUCUGAGAGGAUGACCAGCCACACUGGGACUGAGACACGGUCCAGACUCCUACGGGAGGCAGCAGUGGGGAAUAUUGCACAAUGGGCGCAAGCCUGAUGCAGCCAUGCCGCGUGUAUGAAGAAGGCCUUCGGGUUGUAAAGUACUUUCAGCGGGGAGGAAGGGAGUAAAGUUAAUACCUUUGCUCAUUGACGUUACCCGCAGAAGAAGCACCGGCUAACUCCGUG
rnacentral:rRNA from 1 species